AGACGGAGGGGGCUAGCGUUGUUCGGAAUUACUGGGCGUAAAGCGCGCGUAGGCGGAUUGAUUAGUCAGAGGUGAAAUCCCAGGGCUCAACCCUGGAACUGCCUUUGAAACUGUCAGUCUUGAGUUCGAGAGAGGUGAGUGGAAUUCCGAGUGUAGAGGUGAAAUUCGUAGAUAUUCGGAGGAACACCAGUGGCGAAGGCGGCUCACUGGCUCGAUACUGACGCUGAGGUGCGAAAGCGUGGGGAGCAAACAGGAUUAGAAACCCCUGUAGUCC
rnacentral:rRNA from 1 species